GCCCAUCUGGUCGCUGGGGGCAGGGGGGGGACACACGGGGACACUUGGGGACACCAAAGCGUGCCCACCCCCACGGGGACACCGAGGUUUGGGGGAGCCCCGGGGACGGGGGACCCCUGGGGACACCGAGGUUUGGGGGAUCCCUGGGGACACUGAGGUUUGGGGGAGCCCCGGGGACAGGGGAC